UAAUUAAAUUAAAUUAAAAAAAGAAAUACAUUAUUAAUUUCCAAAAAAGUAACCAAUUAAAAUCAACAAAUUAGAUUUGAUAUCUAAAUUAUCAUAUUAAUUUUUUAUUAAUUAUUAUAGUUUACCUCUCAUCUUUAUAUGAGUAACCCAUUCGAGUUCGGGUAGAACCCGUUCGGGUUUGGGAUUAAUGGAUAUAUGAUUUACUACCCAAUAGAAUAAUUCUAAAUAUUUGGUUCUGGUUCGGGUCGGGUCCAUUUGGGUUUGGGUCAGUUUGGAUAAAAAGUUUCAGACCCUAAAAAUUCCCAAAAAAUAGAAACGGGUAUUUUGUAUGUAGAUAGCGGGUAUCCAAACAAAAA
rnacentral:sRNA from 1 species